rnacentral:lncRNA from 1 species
AUAAUCUUAAGUAGAUAAUUGAUGCAAUCAACAUAUACCAUUUAGUACCAUACAUGCAAGAAUGCUAUAAUACCAACAUGCUCAAAAGAAGUGACAUAGACAUAGAAAGAGACUCGGUGUUUUCGGAUAGCACCCCCCACAUCUAAUGGUCGUGUAGGUGUAGAAUAUGACGAUUCCCGAACUUUAUGAAAGCCGAUCCCGCGUCCUAUAACCAAAAUAGUGCCAUAUUAGGCCUUUUGUACAUAAACUAUAUUUAAACAUUUUCGUAACGUCGAACGGAGUUGUCAUGCCCCGGGACCGGCGGAGGCCCUCCCGGUAGCGCGCCCAGACCCGCCAUAUGUUUACACAUAUAAGGCGUCAAGAAUAGAAGCGGAAAUAAAAGCAAGAAAUAUAGCCGAAAGGAAAUAGCAAAACUAAUGAUAUCAGAGCAGUAUGAUUCUAACAUCUCUAACAACAAGAAAAGAAACAUAACUGAACAAUAAAGGUAACCAUGAAGUAGUACAAUAUCGGCCUCAAAGUACAAAACGGGUGAUCUCUAAUACAUUGGUACAACUCUCAAUCUCUCACAAAAAGAAAUAAAGAGAGGUGGGCCACCUAUAGAAUGAUCCCUCGGCGAAGAACACUAACCCGAGGCGAUACCCUUUCCGCGAUCCCUUGCCUCCCCCUGCGUGGAAGGCUCUGAAAAAUAUCGAGAAAAAGAGGGCGUGAGAACUAUAAUUUAUAGUUCCCAGUGGGCAAUUACUGACCUCAGCUCUAUGCACCACUAGGCCCCAAGAGGAAAGGGGUAAGUACUAUAAGCAAUAAUAAUAAAGAUAACUGCAAUAGGAAAGCUUAAUGGAAUGCUAAGCUACAAUGUCUCAAGUAAACAUGAUGUAAGUAUGAUGUACAUCUACUCUAUCAUAAGCAAGUACGUCCAAUGGCAACAAAUGUUACGGUCCAGUAUGUCAUACAUAAAGAAUAGCUCUAUCAAGCAACCGAGUAUACUAUGAAGCAAUGCAUGAAACAGGCAAGUAUACUAUAUAUCCCAAUGCUAUGUCCCGAGCAUGUCAAAGUAAUCCAACUACUAAGCCUAUCUAGUAGUGAUUAUAACACACUUAACACUGUGUCGAUUUUCAUUUCCAAUUAAGGGCCUACCCAUGGUAGUCCAGCUUGUGCCGCCUAAGUGCCUGUGGUAGCACAACAUUCCCACUCUUGGAAUGUGUCUGUCCCACUCGACCCCGUAGGCUUCUCAAUACCGCACGAGCGAACAUAAGUCGCGUAGGCUAACUCCGGAGUGCUGGCUUGUAGGGAGCGACCCUCACAAACAUGUGCGAAUGAGCACAAAUGGCAAGCAAGCAUAGUCAACGUCUCAAGUAUCCAAUCAUCAUGUCUCUAAUAUGGUAUAGUCACUAGCAUCUCGAAGAUCUAGUUCUAAGUCACAAAUGAAGUUCCAAUGUUCUCUAGGUCUAGUGCCCCUUUAUGACACUUAGACAUUCAAUAUUUAAGCAUGUUCCACAUUCCUCAAUGGCCUUAUCCACU